rnacentral:lncRNA from 1 species
CUAGACCAAUCCCAGACGAUGCCCCCAAGCCAGCGAGCCACCCCUCGCAGAAGCAGUCUCGAGUUGAAGUUACUGCAUUCAGCUUUGUCUGGGCGAAAGGAGGCGUGGUCUCUGAUGGGGAGAAACACCCACACUAGGGAAGCUAACUCUCGCCUCCAAGGGAGCUCACCAGAGAGGUGCAAGGACGGGGCGCAAAAGGAUGGAUGGCUUGGAGGCAGCCGUUCGUGGCGUUAUUGGUAAGGGAUAAGCCGGUAGCUAGCCGACCAGCGCAGGAUUCUACUUCGCUUGGCCCGGCAUCACCUCGCCUUACGUAUGUACAGGCCAUCGUCUCAGUCGCAGACAAUGCAGUCGGGGUACUGCCAACUCCAUCAAGCUUUCAGCUGCUUCAAGAUCCCUUACAGGAUGGAAAUUAAGGCCCAACCCUGCCCUCAUAUCUAGCCCCGUCUUGUCCAGUCUCACACACACACACACACACACACACACACACACACACACACACACACACACACAGAUAAGUCAGGGCCAACACAACGAGUAGAGCCACACCGGACUAGAGCAAUGGGUGGCAGGAGGUACAGAGAGGCAAGCACUCAGCUUACCAGAAGACUCACACAUAUUUGUUCGUAGAGCAAGGUUCAGUAUUAAGGUGUUGAGUAUUUUAACAAACUGUAACAAAGGCUGGCCUCCAACUAUGCCCCUGCCUCCCAAGUGCUGGGAUUAAAGGUUUGUGUCACCACUGCCAGGCAGGGAGACUCUUCUAUACAUCUCUCUACUGGUAUCAAAUGUACCAGUGAAUCUGAUAGCCUGGAGUCUGACCUCUCACUCUUUCAACAUUGGCUACUUUGAAAAGCAUUUGCUGCAAAAGAAAUGAAGGAAAGCAGAAAAGAGUCACUGCUCCAGGCCAUGGACUUCCUGGAAUGCAUGAGGCCUGCUAGGGAAGGAAGGUGUUCAAUUAUUUCUCUGCUGCCAGCAAAAAAAAAAAAAAAAA